rnacentral:rRNA from 1 species
UACGAAGGGGCUAGCGUUGCUCGGAAUCACUGGGCGUAAAGGGUGCGUAGGCGGGUCUUUAAGUCAGGGUGAAAUCCUGGAGCUCAACUCCAGAACUGCCUUUGAUACUGAGGAUCUUGAGUUCGGGAGAGGUGAGUGGAACUGCGAGUGUAGAGGUGAAAUUCGUAGAUAUUCGCAAGAACACCAGUGGCGAAGGCGGCUCACUGGCCCGAUACUGACGCUGAGGCACGAAAGCGUGGGGAGGCAACAGGA